GGGAGAACGGGCACCCCUGUCUGGAGCCAUUAGAGAUUGAGAACGGUUUAGAAAUAAAUCCCCCGUUCAAUACUUUUGCAGUUGGGGAUGAGUAGAGUGCCUCAACGAGGGCCAGAAACUAGGGUGGAAAUUCAAAUUUUCGAAGAACUGCUGACAGAAAGGGCCAGUUCAGCCUAUCAAAGGACUUUUCCGCAUCCAAGGAUAACCGGAUGCUUGGGGCCUUCCUCUCUUUCAUCCCAUAGAGCAAGUUUAGGAUCUUUCGUGUACCAUCUGCCCAUUGUCUACCACCUACAAACCCCACUUGAUCAUCCUUAAUGAGUGUUGGUAUGAUAGGUGCCAGUCUGUUGGAGAAGAUUUUGGCUAUGAGCUUGACAUCUGUAUUCAGCAGAGAUAUGGGUCGUAGGUUUUGGCUUCUGUUUGGCUUUCCCGGUUUGGG